GGAUUACCAGUUAAAUAUAUAUAUAUAAUGUGAACAAAAUUUAGUAUAUAUGGUUUAUUUAGGGAACUUAUAUGGUUUAAUUAUAAUAAGCAUUUGUUGAUGCUAUUGGACAAUUCUCUUUAAAAUCUACAUAUAUAAUUAUAUACAACUAUUAUAUUAAAUGUUUGGAAUUUAACUGUGUUAUGCUUGUUCAGAGAUUGUUUGUAUAGUUAUCUUAAAUACAUAGAACACUAAUAUAACUCCUCUAUCUCUCCCUAGUUUUACUUACCGAGACUCGAUAAACCUUGUCCCUCAUGCUGGCCCUUACAAUACCGGUGGCGCCAUAGACAUAUAAAUACCUAGACGCCUCAUUGGCCGCUCGACCGCACGUCAACGUCGACGCCAUAUUGGAUCGGGCAGCUCUCCAUAACACUCAUAUCGGGACAGCGGAAAACAUACAUGACUCAUCGGCAGUUGGGCAUCUACAAACCGUCACACAAUAAUAAAAACAGAUCUCGGGGUAUUAUCUUUCACAGCCAAUAGCAAACAGGAUAAGGAAAGCUGAAGAAAGCCUGUUCUGUGCAUUUCCAAGAGACAAGGCUAUAAUUCCACAGCCCAAGGUCGUAUUUGUACUAGUUAAAACACAGAAUAGCCCUGAAUGAAUGGCCAGAAUGACCCUGGACAUAUUCAAACCUCUCCCUCCCCCUAGAAUAGACUUCCAGGAGCAUUUUUUACCUUGGUAAAAGUAAUUUUUAUAACAAUAUCAUUUAAUAUAAUUACCUUAUAAAAUGUUUCUGUAGUUUUUGUAAAAAAUUUAAAUAUAACCCGUUUCUUCAGUCAAUCACAAUACUAUAGACUGCAUUAAAAAUGAUUUACACAGGCUGUUUAAUGCUGAUCGUGUAGUGUAUGUGUAUUUACACAAAAACUACAUAAUGUAAAUAGCCUAGAAAUGAAAAACACAGGAACUCAUUAGUGAGGCAAGCUGCAAUAUCAUGACAAAAUCAUUGUUUAGUAUUGCUCUUGAUAUUGUAAUAAUGAUUAUUAAUUUGUAAUAAUAGAAAGUU
ensembl:lncRNA